rnacentral:snoRNA from 1 species
AAAGUGAUGAGAUUCCACUUCAUUGGUCCGUGUUUCUGAAACUCAUGAUAUGGUGGAAGUUCUGAUUUGGCAGAA